CUAAUUGAAAUAUCCAAACACUCAUUAAAUUUUUGUUUACUUUCAAUAACCUAUAGCGAUAGAUAUAUCUGCUAUAACUUUGUAUAAGAACAGAAAAAAAAAUGUCUGUUGUAUUAUUUAUUAUUUAACCUUGAACUUCAUUUACAUUGCCUGCGGUCAACCGACCAGAAUUGACCGCCAGGCGCUAGAAACAUGCGUCUCAGUUAUGCAUGUAGUCAUUUCUCUCAGAGCUUAACACUAAAGUUUUACAACAACAAAAAACAUAAGGUAGUUAUCACGUGAAAUGCAAUUAAUAGUUUUAAGACCUCAGCCUUCAUGUUGAGAGCUUAGCCAGUUUCAUUGUAUUGGCAUCACGUUGAAAAAAAAAAAUAAAUACAAAGCAUCUAUCUCGAAGAUAUCCAAACAAGUUGAAUAACCUGUCUUUUUAAAUGCUAUUGCUGACUAUUCGAGCCUUAGCAUUAGCUUUAAGGUGUCGGUUGUAGAUAUAAAAAAAAACUAAUUAUAAUUAUCAUCAGACAGAGCCAAAGCCACGCGGAAGAAGACGUAAAUAAACAAAAGUUCGAUAAGUAGGUAAGUAGAAUGUACGUAUAAUAGGCAUUACUCGCUCCGAACAACAGACACGUCACACGUUUAGAUUGUAGAUAUAAACUGGUUCACCUGGCCUGCAAUCAAACCGUAUCGAAAUCGAAUUCAGACACACACAACUUUGAGGGCUAUCAUCAGGCAAAAACACACACUUCCAGUCAAGGUCAUGAUACACAGUUUAUGAAUUUUUCUGUUGGCCCGGUAGCUAGCUUGUUAAACGGAUAAUAAUCAAGGUGGGGGAGCUACUGCUACUGGCACUAGCACUGGCAUGCCAAGAGUCCAAUUUAUUCGAAUUAAUUGGACGACAGAUCUCGUAUCGCUUCGGCGCGAGAAUCGAGAACCUAGAUACAAUAGCCGAGAACCAAGAACCAAAUAAAAUGCAGGCAUAGCUUUUUAAUUAAUAUACUCCAUCCCAUGGCAUUGUUGGGUCCUAA